CGGAAUCACUGGGCAUAAAGCGCACGUAGGCGGCGACGUAAGUUGGGUGUGAAAUCCCUCGGCCCAACCGAGGAACUGCGCCCAGUACUGCGUUGCUUGAGGAUCCAAGGGGUGCAUGGAAUUCCCGGUGGAGCGGUGAAAUGCGUUGAUAUCGGGAGGAACUCCGGCGGCGAAAGCGGUGCACUGGUGGAUUACUGACGCUGAGGUGCGAAAGCCAGGGGAGCAAACGGG
rnacentral:rRNA from 1 species